GGGUUUGGCCCAGCGUCGUCCGGGUUAGGGGAGGGUUUGGCCCAGCGUCGUCCGGGUUAGGGGAGGGUUUGGCCCAGCGUCGUCCGGGUUAGGGGAGGGUUUGGCCCAGCGUCGUCCGGGUUAGGGGAGGGUUUGGCCCAGCGUCGUCCGGGUUAGGGGAGGGUUUGGCCGGCUGGGAUUUCCUUGGCCCAUCGGGCUCUAGCUACUCCAUGUUGCGGGCCGGCCGCCUGCAAACUGACUUCGGUCACCAGUUGGACAGUGUUUCCUCUGACACGUUGGUGCUUCCGGGUUGAGCAAGAAGCAGUGCGGCUUGGCAGGGUUGUAUUUCGGAGGACGCAUGGCUCUCGAACUUCGCCUCUCCCAAGUCCGUAGGGGAGUUGCAGCGAUGGGACAAGACUGUAACUACCAAUCCACUACCAAAUAUAUAAAUAAAAAGAAAGAAAAAAUGUUACAUUUUUUGAAGCUUCAAAAAAACAAUUUUAUUCUAAAAUUUUAUUCUAAAAUGUUGUUCACAGACUAGAUAAUUCAGCCACGUGACAGAUGUGGCAUAUCAAGAAACUGAUUAAACAACAUGAUCAUUACACCUGUGUACCUUGUGCUGGGGACAAUAAAAGGCCACUCUAAAAUGUGCAGUUUUGUCACACAACACAAUGCCACAGAUGUCUCAAGUUUUGAGGGAGCGUGCAAUUGGCAAGCUGACUGCAGGAAUGUCCACCAGAGCUGUGGCAGAUAAUUGAAUGUGCAUUUCUCUACCAUAAGCCGUCUUCAAUGCAGUUUUAGAGAAUUUGACUGUACGUCCAACCGGCCUCACAAACGUAGACACGUGUAACCACGCCAGCCCAGGACUUCCACAUCCGGCUUCUUCACCUGAGGGAUCAUCUGAGACCAGC
ensembl:lncRNA